CGCCCACGGCGACCGCACCACCCCGCCGUUGACCUCACCCCCGACCGACGCCUUCCUCCACAUCCUUCUGACCCCAAGGUUGAGGUCGUUCCCGUCUAUCUCCCCUGUGUGUGCGCGUACAUCGUCGGCAAGCGUGAGGAUGGGUUGCCGCAGUUGCUUCUUCGCCUUCUCUCAUCUCACGUCCCCAUCACCGGACGCCUCGCCACGUCUCUCACCUUGCCCCUCUCCAUGAUGCAUCGCGGAGCUAUUUCUGGAGGCCGUCGCCACCGCAUUAGUUGCCAGAUGGUCUUCCCCUGCUCCGCUGUGCUUCAGGAUAUGCAGUGUAUGCAUGUGAAGACGUGAAGAUGUUGACUCUUUUUCCUUGGUAGCUGCUUCAGGAUAUGCAGUGUAUGUACAUGAGAAGAUGUACUCUUCUUUUUAGAUCACUGAUGCUAUUUGCGCAGUACUGUUUGAUGCCCAAUUCAGAGUUAUGUAACAGGCUGACUGCUUUCUCUUAAGAGAGAGAAAAAAAAUGCUAUCAUUGGCUGCGUCCAUCAUCACGCACAACGGCGGCUGGCGUUGCUUUUUCUCUUGCCCCGCUCUUCACUGGAUCCAACUCUCAAAGCAACAUGCUAAUUAAUGGCUAUUGCCGUUGGUCAUGAUUUUUUCUGCUGAUUUUUUCAUCUUCCUAUGGAUUUGUUUCUUACUAUAAAUACUUCCCAUCCCAGUGCCAGUGCGGGUAGAUGCAGAUUUACAUCAAUUUGCAAUUAGCCAAAGUAAAAUCUAGGCUGAUGGUUCAUGGUCUCAAAGAAUUCAUGCGCUGCAUUCAGGAGACAAUGAGUCCGGAACAGAUGAGUGAGGAUCAUAACUGGAUGGUUUCAUAGUUGGAUUUCUACCAGUCCAACAGAUUCAUGUCCUCUGGCUAUUUUCCUGGGAAGAUGAUUUGUCCUAUGUUAUCUUCAAGGAUGACGCUAUGGAUGAUCACAUCGGCAAUGGCUUCACUCAAGUUUGCAAUAUGACUGAGAACAUGAUGAUAACAACUAUGCAUCCGGAGGAGGAUCUCACUAGUCCAUUUGCACUUCAACUAACGAGCGACAAUCUUAUGGUAUUUUGUUGCAGCUACUGUUAUAUGGAAUAUGAUGGAUGAGAAAUAGUAAAAUGAUGUGUAUGUAUGUGAUGCUGCUGAUCAUGAAUCUAGGUGACGUAGAAGUGUGUGUGUUUUGUUGUCAUUGGCCUGUGCAAUGUGAUGGAUCCGAAUCUGAGUGGUUUCAUGUAUGCGUAGAAAUGUUUUUCCUUUUGAGCAAGUCCAUGUACAAAUUCUCAUAUGUCAAUUGCUGGAUGUUGAUACAUAGUUUAAUAUAUUGGUAUGUACGUAAACACUGA